GAUCCUGGCUCAGAUUGAACGCUGGCGGCAUGCCUUACACAUGCAAGUCGAACGGCAGCACGGGAGCUUGCUCCUGGUGGCGAGUGGCGAACGGGUGAGUAAUACAUCGGAACGUACCCUGAAGUGGGGGAUAACGUAGCGAAAGUUACGCUAAUACCGCAUAUUCUGUGAGCAGGAAAGAGGGGGAUCGCAAGACCUCUUGCUUUAGGAGCGGCCGAUGUCGGAUUAGCUAGUUGGUGAGGUAAAGGCUCACCAAGGCGACGAUCCGUAGCGGGUCUGAGAGGAUGAUCCGCCACACUGGGACUGAGACACGGCCCAGACUCCUACGGGAGGCAGCAGUGGGGAAUUUUGGACAAUGGGCGCAAGCCUGAUCCAGCCAUGCCGCGUGAGUGAAGAAGGCCUUCGGGUUGUAAAGCUCUUUCGGUGGGGAAGAAAUUGCACAGGAUAAUACCUUGUGUAGAUGACGGUACCCGCAUAAGAAGCACCGGCUAACUACGUG
rnacentral:rRNA from 1 species